rnacentral:lncRNA from 1 species
UAACAUCUAGCCCUGUUACGACGAUGAGCAUGCCCCUUCACUUACAUCAAUAAGCAGUUCAGCUCCCAUUUUCAGUUGCGAGGAAUGCACUGAAAGUUUUAUUGAUGGCACAACAUGGAAAAAUAAGUAUUCUUGUAGUCAUUGGGUGGUGAAAAUUUUUUUCCCCUUGAUAUUUAAUAAAGAAAACAAUAAGGGCCCAGACAGAUACUGAUUACUAUGGAUACAAACGAUCCAUUUAUUUUUCACAAUCAAUAUUAUAGCAUUCUUAUUACAUUUCGUGAUUUGCCGUUAGCCCUGUAGAACCCCUUUGUUGCUCCUUAGUACAUCAACUCCCUCUCAGUUCGAAUGCCCGAAUAUAAUAACAACCCCCCGGCACCCACCACCCAUUCACAGACAUUUGACAAGCUUCAACUCCCAAAGGACACUGUCUCCACCUCAUUACUGAAUCAUAUGCCAGGAUAUAGGAGCCUAGGAGUGAGAGGAAUCAGUGAGUUUACCAGAACAUGCAAAUUUGAGAUGGAUUUGUGCCGCUCUCAAUUUGCUACACUGUUCUCUUCAAGACCAUGUGUUCUCUCAACUUGCAUGUGUGUUCAUAGCAUCUACGCAUUGGUUGUCACCAUCUAUGGUAACCAUGACGGGUGGUGUACGAUGGCUCUGCAAGACCAAUAGAAGGC